ensembl:snRNA
GUGUUGUAUGAAAGGAGAGAAGGUUAGCACUCCCCUUGACAAGGAUGGAAGAGGCCCUCGGGCCUGACAACAAUUCGUCAAUUCCACUCCUAAGAAUUUAC